GACGAACGCUGGCGGCGUGCUUAACACAUGCAAGUCGAACGGAAAGGCCCUGCUUUUGUGGGGUGCUCGAGUGGCGAACGGGUGAGUAACACGUGAGUAACCUGCCCUUGACUUUGGGAUAACUUCAGGAAACUGGGGCUAAUACCGGAUAGGAGCUCCUGCUGCAUGGUGGGGGUUGGAAAGUUUCGGCGGUUGGGGAUGGACUCGCGGCUUAUCAGCUUGUUGGUGGAGUAGUGGCUUACCAAGGCUUUGACGGGUAGCCGGCCUGAGAGGGUGACCGGCCACAUUGGGACUGAGAUAAGGCCCAGACUCCUACGGGAGGCAGCAGUGGGGAAUAUUGCACAAUGGGCGGAAGCCUGAUGCAGCAACGCCGCGUGCGGGAUGACGGCCUUCGGGUUGUAAACCGCUUUCGCCUGUGACGAAGCGUGAGUGACGGUAAUGGGUAAAGAAGCACCGGCUAACUACGUG
rnacentral:rRNA from 1 species